GACGAACGCUGGCGGCGUGCUUAACACAUGCAAGUCGAACGGAAAGGCCCUGCUUUUGUGGGGUGCUCGAGUGGCGAACGGGUGAGUAACACGUGAGUAACCUGCCCUUGACUUUGGGAUAACAUCAGGAAACUGGGGCUAAUACCGGAUAGGAGCUCCUGCUGCAUGGUGGGGGUUGGAAAGUUUCGGCGGUUGGGGAUGGACUCGCGGCUUAUCAGCUUGUUGGUGGGGUAGUGGCUUACCAAGGCUUUGACGGGUAGCCGGCCUGAGAGGGUGACCGGCCACAAUGGGACUGAGAUACGGCCCAGACUCCUACGGGAGGCAGCAGUGGGGAAUAUUGCACAAUGGGCGGAAGCCUGAUGCAGCAACGCCGCGUGCGGGAUGACGGCCUUCGGGUUGUAAACCGCUUUCGCCUGUGACGAAGCGUGAGUGACGGUAAUGGGUAAAGAAGCACCGGCUAACUACGUG
rnacentral:rRNA from 1 species